rnacentral:tRNA from 1 species
GUCGUCGUGGCCGAGUGGUUAAGGCGACAGACUUGAAAUCUGUUGGGCUCUGCCCGCCCUAGUUCGAAUCUUGUCGGCGACG